AUAAAUUAAAUGUGUUGUCUGAAUACACAGAGAAACCAUACCUGUUUCAUUUUGAAGAUAUGGUCAUAUUCAGACAACAGUUAUAUGUCGUUUGAAAAUAUUGAAAUUUUUCAUAUUGAACCCUAGCAAAAAUUUUAGAAUUCCCUCCAACUACAUCAAGCCUUUCCCUCUCAAAGGUCCCGAACCCUAACUGAGAAGUCAAUGGGGAUGAUAUUCAGACAACAUUGCUAAGAAAUUGUGUUGUCUGAAUUAGGUGAUUUAAAUUUUUUAUUUUUUAAGUAUUCUUUGGGAUAAGUAUGAAAGUCUUCGUGUUUUCCCCCACACUCGUUAGGUCUGUCUAAAACCCAAGUCUCAAUUGCAAAAGCCUGAACCUCCACUGCGAAUACUCGACCAUCUCUCAAAAUCUUAACCCAAAACUCGGUCAUCUCUCAAAUCUGAACCUAGAUCGAACUCAUCUCAGUCUUUUCAACCAAACCUAAACCUUCUUAGUAUCUUCUUCAUCUAUGAACCUUGAGAAUCCUUGAUGUUUCAUUCACGUGCGGUUUAAUGGAGCUGUUCAACAACCACUUAACAGAUUAGAGCAAGCUUUAAUAUUCUGUUUUCUAUUGGGUUAUUGAUUCGAGUUAGGUGUCAGGUCUUUCUCCAAUUUGUUUUCCUUGAAAAUAAUAGGGCCUCGCACCGUCUCUACUUUCAAAGAGAGGCAUCCUCAGCGUCUCCGAGUUCGUCACCGCCAGUGAUAACCUCGUCUCCAAGUGCCUUACCUGGGAAUCAAGAAAACCAAGCAAGAGGAAGCCAUAUCUACCGUCUGAAAACCAGUAUUUGAUUACUAGAAAUGGGCUGCAUCUGUGGAAGAGGAGUACGAAGUUGGAGGUGUGGAAGUUCUUAUUGAUAAUGAAGAUAAUGAUGGCUGGUUGGCAACAUAAGGGAAGCCAAAGAAUAAAAGUAGUGAGGAGGAAAACUUUCCUUCUAUUGAAAAUUUAAAAAUCAGCAAGGUGAAGUCGGCCCCCUCGCAAGUUAAGGGUGAAGAUGAAGAUGAUAUCCCUGACAUGGCUGAUUAUGAAGAAGAUGACAACACCUAUGGAAUACAAAAGAAAAAGAAGGGCUGGUGUUCGUUCAUUCUCCAUGUAUAUGUGCCGCUGAGACCCACUUGGAAAUCUUGACACAACUUUCGUCUUAAUGUCACAACCAAGCAGCCUAAUUUUCUCUCUCCUUGUCAUCUUCAUGACUCUUUGCAAAUGCUUUCCUACAAAUCUUUAUAUGUCGUUGACUGGAAGGACAUUUAAAGCAACAACUGAUAGCUUUUCUGAUCUCAGCAACAAUGUCACCAAUUACCACUUGAUUCGCGGCGCAUCUGAUCUCAGGGUCACUCAUGCUGACCAGUCAACUUCGAUGCAAAUGUUGUUGGAUUUGACCAAGACAAGGAUGUUGCGGUUUUACAUGUUGCAUCCAAAGACAUACUAAGGCCUAUACCAUUUAGUGUCUCUGCAGACUUGCUAGUUGGUCAGAAAGUGUCUGCUAUUGACAAUCUUGUGGGUGGACAAAUGGAAUCUAGAAAGGUAGUUCUUAUUACUGCUGCUUCAAACCUUGCUGUAGUAGGGUGCUCAUGACUUUUGCUGUUUUGUUUAUCUGAUCUGAAACGUAUACAUAGAGCAUAGAGUAUAAGACUGCUAAAUUAAGCUGUGUCCUCUUCUCAUAAAGAGUAUAUGACUGGCAUUCCCAUAUAUUGCUGCAUCAGAGAAGGAUGCUAUGGAAAGUGAUCAUGUGCUUAUAUACACGUAUACAUCCUUCUAUGUUUCGUAUGUCAAUAUCAAUUCCUUACAAGUCAUGAAGUUGACUAUGUUAAAGGUACCUGAAAGAAGCCCCAUUCCUUACAAGCCAAAUGAAGUUUUGCCAUUAAUCAUCAUGGAACAAUGGAUUCAAGACAUUGGUUUUAGAAGGAUGAGAAGGCUCAGAAGUUAGCUCUAAGACAUGGACUUGAGGAUGCAAGCUUCCAUUAGGAAUAAGUAGGCUAGUGUUUGGUUGCAACUACAUUAUUGUACUUUGGUUUAUAUAUGUAUGGGAUGUAUGUAUAGCUGCAGUAACAGAUUAAUCAAAUAUUGGUAUUUUUAUGAAUGAAUUCCAUUUUUGAUGAAUGCAUUGGGUAGUUUCCAGAUUUACAUAAUUGUGGCGCAACGAAGAAUAAAAAUAUGUCAUCUGAAUUAUAAAGCAACGACAAAAUGAAAUCCAAAUAUGUUGUUGGACAUAUCUAAGAACAACAGAAACAAGAAAAAA